GCAUGGGUGGUUCAAUGGUAGAACUCUUGCCUUCCAUGCAGGAGACCUGGAUCGAUUCCCAGACAAUGAA
rnacentral:tRNA from 1 species